CUUCGGGAGGUGACGGAGCGGCGAACGGGUGAGUAACACGUGGGCAACCUGCCCCUAGCUCUGGGACAACCUCGGGAAACCGUGGCUAAUACCGGAUACGACUCCGCACGGCAUCUCGCGGAGUGGAAAGUUUUUCGGCUAGGGAUGGGCCCGCGGCCUAUCAGCUUGUUGGUGGGGUAACGGCCCACCAAGGCGACGACGGGUAGCCGGCCUGAGAGGGCGACCGGCCACACUGGGACUGAGACACGGCCCAGACUCCUACGGGAGGCAGCAGUGGGGAAUAUUGCGCAAUGGGCGAAAGCCUGACGCAGCGACGCCGCGUGAGGGAUGAAGGCCUUCGGGUUGUAAACCUCUUUCAGCAGGGACGAAAACAGACGGUACCUGCAGAAGAAGCACCGGCCAACUACGUGCCAGCAGCCGCGGUAAUACGUAGGGUGCAAGCGUUGUCCGGAAUUAUUGGGCGUAAAGAGCUCGUAGGCGGUCUGUCGCGUCGGCUGUGAAAACUUGGGGCUCAACCCCAAGCCUGCAGUCGAUACGGGCAGACUAGAGUGCGGUAGGGGAGACUGGAAUUCCUGGUGUAGCGGUGAAAUGCGCAGAUAUCAGGAGGAACACCGGUGGCGAAGGCGGGUCUCUGGGCCGUAACUGACGCUGAGGAGCGAAAGCGUGGGGAGCGAACAGGAUUAGAUACCCUGGUAGUCCACGCCGUAAACGGUGGGUGCUAGGUGUAGGCGGUAUUCCACGCCGUCUGUGCCGCAGCUAACGCAUUAAGCACCCCGCCUGGGGAGUACGGCCGCAAGGCUAAAACUCAAAGGAAUUGACGGGGGCCCGCACAAGCAGCGGAGCAUGUGGCUUAAUUCGACGCAACGCGAAGAACCUUACCAAGGCUUGACAUGCAGGGAAAUCUCCCAGAGAUGGGAGGUCCGCAAGGGUCCUGCACAGGUGGUGCAUGGUUGUCGUCAGCUCGUGUCGUGAGAUGUUGGGUUAAGUCCCGCAACGAGCGCAACCCUCGUUCUAUGUUGCCAGCGGUUCGGCCGGGGACUCAUAGGAGACUGCCGGGGUCAACUCGGAGGAAGGUGGGGACGACGUCAAAUCAUCAUGCCCCUUAUGUCUUGGGCUGCACACAUGCUACAAUGGCCGAUACAAAGGGCUGCUAAGCCGCGAGGUGGAGCGAAUCCCAAAAAGUCGGUCUCAGUUCGGAUUGGGGUCUGCAACUCGACCCCAUGAAGUCGGAGUUGCUAGUAAUCGCAGAUCAGCAACGCUGCGGUGAAUACGUUCCCGGGCCUUGUACACACCGCCC
rnacentral:rRNA from 1 species